ensembl:lncRNA
GGGCACUCACUGGUUUUCUUUUUUUCCUCUCUGAUUUGAUAUGUCAUUGGACUACAAACACACUUCUUACUACAGAAAAGUUUUGAAUCUGCAUUCUGACUGUUCAACCAGCAGCAGUAAUAUGGGACCAGACGAGGGUCAAUUUCAGACCUUAUUCAGGACCGUACUAUUCUCUUAUGCUGUGAACAGUACAUAUCUAGAAUGGCCCAGUGUCUGAAACCCUGCAUGGACCCAUUUGUUGUGAGCAGCGUGGGAAAAGUCAAAUGGGCUCAAUGAAUGCCCUUCUCUGAUGAUCCCAAAUGGUCCAUUCCACCCCCCUUCCAGGCAGUCUUCUGUGAGGUAGUGUAACAUAGCAGGAUGGGCACAUCCCUUAGCAGGCAGCCACUGCUGGGCCUCACUACUCCACAUCCUAUUACUAGGCAACAGGUCUUGCUCAGCCAUUGGUCCGGUUCCUCAGUGGGCCCUGCCCAUAAGCCACAAACUGUCAAUGAGCAACCGGUAGAUGUCCUGCUCAGCUACUGGUCAGUGCCACAGUGGACCCUGCCCACAAGUAACAGUCAGUGAGGGACCAUUAGCACAGAGAAUAACAUUCAUCUGGUAGAGAUUUACAAGAACAUCGCUACCUGACCAUGACCUGACCUGAAGAACAAAGGAUCUGACGCCAAGAAGUCUGCAACAACUAACCACACCACCCCCUCACCUUUUGCUUUUGAAGGGGCUUGCUGAAAGCUUUCAGUAACCUUGGGGUUUUUAGGGUAUGAGCCACCCUCUCCUUGUAUGAACCUAUAAUAAACCUC